CUAAGAAUCUUCCGCAAUGGGCGAAAGCCUGACGGAGCGACGCCGCGUGGACGAUGAAGGCCGAAAGGUUGUAAAGUCCUUUUCUCUGUGAAGAAUAAGUGGGGGAGGAAAUGCCCCUAUGAUGACGUUAGCAGAGGAAUAAGCCCCGGCUAAUUACGUGCCAGCAGCCGCGGUAAUACGUAAGGGGCGAGCGUUGUUCGGAAUUAUUGGGCGUAAAGGGUGCGUAGGCGGUUUGACAAGUCUGGUGUUGAAGGCAACGGCUUAACCGGUGUUUGGCGCUGGAAACUGUUGGACUUGAGUUUAGGAGGGGGUAGCUGGAAUUCCAGGUGUAGGGGUGAAAUCUGUAGAUAUCUGGAAGAACACCGGUGGCGAAGGCGAGCUCCUGGCCAUAGACUGACGC
rnacentral:rRNA from 1 species